ensembl:lncRNA
AAGACAGCAGCGUCUCGCAACUCCGAGCGGAGGAAUAUCAACAGCGCGUGUUGUGCGUUUGUUUUUAGCGCUUUUUUAAACCACUGACUCGUAAACACGCCAAACUUUGCAUCCCCGAAGGAGGUACAUUCGCUUCUUUUGAUUCUUUUAUACUUGGACUCGGCUCUCCCAAACAAACGGACAUCAACUGAAAGUUUCCCCUCAGGGAUGAGACCUGGUAUGGCCGUUGCUCAUAGCGCAGCAGGAGUACUCUGAAACCAAGGCGAAAGCGGUGAGUAAAAGCAAUCUUUAAAGUGCUAAUUUGCAUGUUCGUUCUGUCUGUCUCGGCCAUAAUUGAUAUGUCCUCUCAAAAAUCACUUCCAUUAUAUAUUCCAUCAACCACAUCCUGAGAGGAGCGUUAAUAAUGAGGAGUCCGGGGACCUCUUAAAGAUUCUUGAUGCAUCAUGAUAGUCGAGAGAGUCCACUUAGUUUCUGACGGCCUCGACGGUUGUGAGGUUUCACGUUAAAGGUAGUUGAAGUCAAGAUAAAUGUAUUGUGGUGCAUAACCCAGCAGGUAAAGGUUUGAAGCAUGUUGUCCAGCUCCCUCCGGCCCUUCAUUGAAGCCCUGAUGAUGGUUUUGUCACCAAGUAAGUGAAAAAUAAGCAUAAGGAAUGCCACCGUCUUUGAGAAUGUGACUGCUGAUUAUGUGGAGGUUGUGGUUACCGUCAUUAGCGAUGUAGACAUUGCCAGACGGGCGGCUAACGUUGCGAAGGGUGAAUGAGAGAAACCUGCAUCUAUUCAAGGCAGAUCAUGCAGAGGGCAAGUUCACAUCAUGUUUGAUAAUUUGAGUAAGAGACUUUUUAAGGGUCCUGAUAUUAGCUAUUAUAGGUACUCAGUUGCUAUAAUCAUUU